rnacentral:rRNA from 1 species
AUUGAACGCUGGCGGCAGGCCUAACACAUGCAAGUCGAGCGGACGGCGGACGGGUGAGUAAUUUAUGGGGAUCUGCCCGAUCGAGGGGGCUAACUACUGGAAACUGUGGCUAAUACCGCAUACUAUCGGAUCAACCCCUGUGGGAUUAGCUAGUCGGUGGGGUAAAGGCUCACCUAGGCGACGAUCUCUAGCUGGUCUGAGAGGAGGAUCGGCCACACUGGGACUGAGACACGGCCCAGACUCCUACGGGAGGCAGCAGUGGGGAAUAUUGGGCAAUGGGCGCAAGUCUGAUGCAGCCAUGCCGCGUGUGUGAAGAAGGCCUUCGGGUUGUAAAGUACUUUUAGCAGGGAGGCGGUACCUAAAGAGGAAGCACCGGCUAACUACGUGCCAGCAGCCGCGGUAAUAC